rnacentral:rRNA from 1 species
CCUGCCAGCCCGCUCAGAACUUAAGGAAUGACGGGGCCCGCACAAGCGGUGGAGUAUGUGGUUUAAUUCGAUGCAACGCGAAGAACCUUACCUGGUCUUGACAUCCCGGAGACCCUUAGGGAACUAGGGGGUGCUUCCAUCUGGAAGAAUCUGGAGACAGGUGCUGCAUGGCUGUCGUCAGCUCGUGUCGUGAGAUGUUGGGUUAAGUCCCGCAACGAGCGCAACCCUUGCCUUUAGUUGCCAACGGGUGAAGCCGGGCACUCUGGCGGGACUGCCAUCGUAAGAUGUGAGGAAGGUGGGGAUGACGUCAAAUCAGCACGGCCCUUACGUCCGGGGCGACACACGUGUUACAAUGGGUGGUACAAAGGGCAGCUACCUGGCGACAGGAUGCUAAUCUCGAAAACCGCUCUCAGUUCGGAUCGGAGUCUGCAACUCGACUCCGUGAAGCUGGAUUCGCUAGUAAUCGCGCAUCAGCCACGGCGCGGUGAAUACGUUCCCGGGCCUU